AGAUGAUGCAACAAAUCAACUCAUUAGGAUGAGAGUCAUUUGUACCAAGUCCAGGGCCUUAUGUUCGAGAGGUGGUAUUAGAAUUUUAUGCAAAUAUGAAUGCUCAAGAAGAAACUUCAAGAGUUCAAUAUCCGAGUAGUGGCAGAUUUGUGCAGGCUUGUAUCCAACACCGGAAUUUCCUCUGUCGGCUCCAUUACCACCAACAACACUCAAUAUGCAUAAAGAAGGUGGGUCAAAUAAAAUUUUCAUACCAUUUAGCAUGUAGCCUCUCUCCAUGUGGUCAGAUGUUGUCACAAUUCCAGAAAUGAAUACUGCAAAUCCUGCUAAUUUCUAUGGCGAAGGACCCUCCGUUCCUCCCGAAAAUCAGGGAAAUGAAAACUUUGAUGCUGCAUUUAACUUUCUCACUGGUGAAGGUACUGGAACAUGUAGUCAUUGAAACUUGAAUUAUUGAAAAUGAAUAAUUUAAGUGUGGGGAUGGUAAAAACUCUACUCUACUUUUUCUAUGUGAUAAUCUUAUGGUCUACUUUAUGUAGUUGGAAAUGUUGGUAGUCCUUUUUGGUGCUGGUUGUUUUUGAAAAUGUUGGUGAUGUGUUGAUGUUAGUUGAAAGAAGAAGAAGAUUUUUUGGUUGGCAACAGGUAACAUCUUUUUUGAAAAUAGCCAUAAGAGGAAGCUUGUACAUUGUUUAACCUUAUGGUUAGUAUGUUGGUGCUAGUUGAAAGAAGAAAGAAACGCUUGAUUGGCAGCAUGUAACAUCUUUUUGCUGUAAAUAGCCAUAAAAGGCAGCUUGUACCUGUUUGUUUUAGUGUGAAAAUGUCAAAUGACAAACCUUGUAAUGAAUGUUUAACUGCAUGUUCAUUUAGAAGUACCAAAACAACAUGCAGUUAAACAUUCAUUACAAGGUUUGUCAUUUGACAUUUUCACACUAAAACAAACAGGUACAAGCUGCCUUUUAUGGCUAUUUACAGCAAAAAAAGAUGUUACAUGCUGCCAAUCAAGCGUUUCUUUCUUCUUUCAACUAGCACCAACAUACUAACCAUAAGGUUAAACAAUGUACAAGCUUCUCUUAUGGCUAUUUUCAAAAAAGAUGUUACCUGUUGCCAACCAAAAAAUCUUCUUCUUUCAACUAACAUCAACACAUCACCAACAUUUUCAAAAACAACCAGCACCAAAAAGGACUA